rnacentral:rRNA from 1 species
AAUCAACGCUGGCGGCGUGCCUAACACAUGCAAGUCGAACGAGAAAGGGGAGCAAUCCCUGAGUACAGUGGCGACCGGGUGAGUAACACGUGACUACCUACCCUUGAGUGGGGGAGUAACCUCGGGAACCGGAGGCUAAUACCGCAUAAUAUCGCAAGAUCAAAGGAGCAAUCCGCUCUUGGAGGGGGUCGGCGGCUGAUUAGCUAGUUGGUAGGGUAAGUGGCCUACCAAGGCGAAGANCGGUAUCCGGCCUGAGAGGGCGCACGGACACACUGGAACUGAAACACGGUCCAGACUCCUACGGGAGGCAGCAGGUGGGGAA